rnacentral:rRNA from 1 species
GAUUCUGGCUCAGGAUGAACACUGGCGGCAUGCCUAAUACAUGCAAGUCGAACGGAGUGAAGCCUUCGGGUUUCAUUCAGUGGCGAACGGGUGAGUAAUACGCAGGGAACCUGGCCAUGGCAGGGGGAUACACUCUGGAAACGGAGCAUAAGACCCCAUAGGCAGUAAGGCGGCAUCGCCUUACUGUUAAAGAAAGCUGAAAGGCUUUGGCGAUGGAUGGACCUGCGGUGCAUUAGCUUGUUGGUGAGGCAACGGCUUACCAAGGCGAUGAUGCAUAGCCGGCCUGAGAGGGCGGACGGCCACACUGGGACUGAGACACGGCCCAGACUCCUGCGGGAGGCAGCAGUAGGGAAUUUUCGUCAAUGGGCGCAAGCCUGAACGAGCAAUGCCGCGUGAGUGAGGAAGGUCUUCGGACUGUAAAGCUCUGUUGCCGGGGAAAAAGGGGAAAUGCAGGAAAUGGCAUUUCAUGGAUGGUACCCGGCCAGAAAGCCACGGCUAACUACGUGCCAGCAGCCGCGGUAAUACGUAGGUGGCGAGCGUUAUCCGGAAUGAUUGGGCGUAAAGGGUGCGCAGGCGGUCUGUUAAGUCUGAAGGCAAAGGGAUGAGCUCAACUCAUUUAUGAUUCAGAAACUGGCAGACUUGAGGACAGGAGAGGGCGGUGGAACUCCAUGUGUAGCGGUAAAAUGCGCAGAGAUAUGGAAGAACACCAGUGGCGAAGGCGGCCGCCUGGCCUGUGACUGACGCUGAGGCACGAAAGCGUGGGGAGCAAAUAGGAUUAGAUACCCUAGUAGUCCACGCCGUAAACGAUGAGGAGCAGGUGUUGGGAGUGAAAUCUCAGUGCCGAAGCCAACGCAGUGACUCCUCCGCCUGGGGAGUAUGCACGCAAGUGUGAAACUCAAAGGAAUUGACGGGGGCCCGCACAAGCGGUGGAGUAUGUGGUUUAAUUCGAAGCAACGCGAAGAACCUUACCAGGUUUUGACAUCGGAUGCGAAGGCGCAGAGAUGCGCUGGAGGCUAUCAUCCAGACAGGUGGUGCAUGGUUGUCGUCAGCUCGUGUCGUGAGAUGUUCAGUUAAGUCUGGCAACGAGCGCAACCCCCGUGGUAUGUUACUAACGCAUUUGGGCGAGGACUCAUAUCAGACUGCCGGUGACAAACCGGAGGAAGGCGGGGAUGACGUCAAAUCAUCAUGCCCCUUAUGACCUGGGCUACACACGUACUACAAUGGCGUCUACAGAGGGAAGCGACCCUGAGAAGGGAAGCGAAACCGGAAAAGGGCGUCCCAGUUCGGAUUGAAGUCUGCAACCCGACUUCAUGAAGAUGGAAUCGCUAGUAAUCGCGGAUCAGCAUGCCGCGGUGAAUACGUUCCCGGGCCUUGUACACACCGCCCGUCAAACCAUGGAAGCCGGCAACGCCCGAAGCCGGUGGCAUAACCUUUUAGGAGUGAGCCGUCGAAGGCGGGGCCGAUGACUGGGGUUAAGUCGUAACAAGGUACCC